UGGGGAAUUUUGGACAAUGGGCGAAAGCCUGAUCCAGCAAUGCCGCGUGUGUGAAGAAGGCCUUCGGGUUGUAAAGCACUUUUGUCCGGAAAGAAAUCCUUGGCUCUAAUACAGUCGGGGGAUGACGGUACCGGAAGAAUAAGCACCGGCUAACUACGUGCCAGCAGCCGCGGUAAUACGUAGGGUGCAAGCGUUAAUCGGAAUUACUGGGCGUAAAGCGUGCGCAGGCGGUUUGCUAAGACCGAUGUGAAAUCCCCGGGCUCAACCUGGGAACUGCAUUGGUGACUGGCAGGCUAGAGUAUGGCAGAGGGGGGUAGAAUUCCACGUGUAGCAGUGAAAUGCGUAGAGAUGUGGAGGAAUACCGAUGGCGAAGGCAGUCCCCUGGGCCAAUACUGACGCUCAUGCACGAAAGCGUGGGGAGCAAACAGGAUUAGAUACCCUGGUAGUCCACGCCCUAAACGAUGUCAACUAGUUGUUGGGGAUUCAUUUCCUUAGUAACGUAGCUAACGCGUGAAGUUGACCGCCUGGGGAGUACAGUCGCAAGAUUAAAACUUAAAGGAAUUGACGGGGUCAUA
rnacentral:rRNA from 1 species